rnacentral:lncRNA from 1 species
UUUAUUUGUAGCAAUUGAUCCCAACGUUUAGUUACAUGAUCAUGUCCGUAAAGAAGAAUUUUUGACGGUAGUUGUAGUUAUUACAUGUGCGACUGCCAAACAAAUAACAACAAAGAAAAAAAAUUACAAUAUUCAUAAUCAUAUUAAAAUUAUUCGAAAAAAAAAAUUCUCUUCUUUUAAAAAAAAAAAUCUCUUUCUUCCGAGGAGAGUAUUUGGGAGAGGACAUUAAUGCAGUCUUUAUUCUUGUUACACCAAAUUGUUUUCUAUUAAUAUGUUAAAAGAUUUUGUAUUGUCACAAACAAUUAAGGAAGAUAUAAAGUAUAAAUAAACACGUGAUAAACCAUAUGCAUGCCUGAAUGAUAUUUAUGUUCUGUCCAAUGGGUUUGCGAAUUUCAACAACUUAAGUUAAUUUUGGGCUCUUUUUACCAUAAAAAGAGAGAGAUAGAGAGAUCAUAAAGCAUGCUGAAAAGUAGAUAAUUAUGUAAAAAAAAAAAAAAAAGAUAAUUGUGUUUGCAAUCUUUGACAUUAAUCAAAAACUUAUAGUCCCUAUGAAAUUCUCAGUUUUCUUUUUUAAUAGAGAAUUUUCUCACAAACCUAUGCAAAAUUAAAUACUGUUUCUUUUUUCCAACAAAUACUGUUUUAUUGUUUUUAUUAAUUUUAUUCUGAAAAAGUAAUUCUUUAGUUGAAUUUGUUUCAGUAGAUAUUAAAUGAUGU